AAGUACCGGCGUGGCGGCGCCUCAGCCCGGCCUGGGCGAGCCCUGGGUGCUCCGCCGGGUAGCUCACGGCGCCCCGCAUGGCCUGGGGAUCCUGAGGGGCCCUGUGACCCUCCUCGCCUGGUCUCCCUCUCACCCCUGGAGGUUUGCCGCAGCUCCGGGCCCGGCGGGCAGUAAGGGCGCACUGGUUGUCCCGGGAGAGGGGUCUGAGCAGAGGGCGGGGUGCAGGCGGAAUGGCCCUCGUGCCCUAUGAGGAGACCACGGAAUUUGGGUUGCAGAAAUUCCACAAGCCUCUUAAAACUUUUUCCUUUGCAAACCACACGAUCCAGAUCCGGCAGGACUGGAGACACCUGGGAGUCGCAGCAGUGGUUUGGGAUGCGGCCAUCGUUCUUUCCACGUAUCUGGAGAUGGGAGCUGUGGAGCUCAGGGGCCGCUCUGCCGUGGAGCUGGGUGCUGGCACGGGGCUGGUGGGCAUAGUGGCUGCCCUGCUGGCUGUUGCUUUCCAAAAUUCAAUAGGGAGCAUGGGCAGGGGUGGUGGUUAAAAGUCUG
rnacentral:sRNA from 1 species